GCUGUUAAGGGUUCGUAGUUGAAUUCAGAGUUGCGAGAUUUUGCUGCUUCGGUAGCCUUUCUUCCCACUCUGUCAUAGACGGGGCCGGAGUCUGCGGAAUCGCCCCUUCAUUGGGUGCGGGAUGCUGUUAAGCGAAGAGCUUAACAUUUCACAUGAAAACGCAUGUUCGACCGCCCGUCGUUUCACUGUGAAGAAAACAGCGUGUUCAAGGCAGCCGCUUGCGGUUGAAUGAGAAAGCUGGAAUGACAAAGCAUCGACCAGUUGGUCUGUCUUUUGUCGGUUUUUACGAUCAAUUUGGAAAUUUGUUUACGAAGCCUUCCUUCGCCGUUCUCCGGUGUUGGAACUUCGUCGAACCGGGAUUAAUGGGGGUUGUCGGGGGAAAACGUAUCUGAGCGUGAGAGGUGAAAUUCUUAGCCGCUCGGGGACGAACUUAUGCGAAGGCAUUUUCCAAGUAUACCUUCAUCAAUCAAGACUAAAGUGUGGAGAUCGAAGAUGAUUAGAUACCAUUGUAGUCC
rnacentral:rRNA from 1 species